UUAAAUUGAAGAGUUUGAUCAUGGCUCAGAUUGAACGCUGGCGGCAGGCCUAACACAUGCAAGUCGAGCGGAAACGACAACAUUGAAUCUUCGGAGGAUUUGUUGGGCGUCGAGCGGCGGACGGGUGAGUAAUGCCUAGGAAAUUGCCUUGAUGUGGGGGAUAA
rnacentral:rRNA from 1 species